CAGGGAGACAACAAAAUGUUUAAUAUUAUUAUUUUGUCACCUUAGGUCGAUCGGUAUCUCACGUUCUUAAUUUAUUAAGAAUUUCAUUUCCUAAGUUUUUCUAGGUCACACCCAUUAUUUUUCCUGGGCCAUUAGCUCAGGUGGAUAGAGCGCACCCCUGAUAAGGGUGAGGUCCCUGGUUCAAGUCCAGGAUGGCCCAUAUCUCUAUGUUGGGGGUAUAGCUCAGUUGGUAGAGCGCCUGCUUUGCAAGCAGGAUGUCAGCGGUUCGAGUCCGCUUACCUCCACUGAUUACCACCUCUUCCAUAAUCUGUAGAAAGGAAAAAAUUUUGAGUUGUGAUCUAAUUCUGAACGAAUCUAGCUUCCUAAUGAAACCAUUAAGAUGCUGGACUCAUUGAAUUAAUUUCAUUGUUUUCAGAGAACCUUGACAACUGCAUAGAUUUUUUUAAAGACAAUAAGCAUCUUUAAUGAUGCAGAUUUAUUAUUUGUGCUAAUGCAUUAAUAACAAUUCUAUUAAGCUGAUGCUUCAAUUUUGAAGUUAUU
rnacentral:tRNA from 1 species